GAUGAACGCUAGCGGGAGGCUUAACACAUGCAAGUCGAGGGGCAGCAUAGGGUAGCAAUACUCUGAUGGCGACCGGCAAACGGGUGAGUAACGCGUAUGCAACCUACCCUGUACAGGGGGAUAACCCGGAGAAAUUCGGACUAAUAUCCCGUAAUAAUAUCCGGAGGCAUCUUUGGAUAUUUAAAGUUCCGACGGUACGGGAUGGGCAUGCGUAACAUUAGCUGGUUGGUAAGGUAACGGCUUACCAAGGCUAUGAUGUUUAGGGGUCCUGAGAGGGUGGUCCCCCACACUGGUACUGAGACACGGACCAGACUCCUACGGGAGGCAGCAGUGAGGAAUAUUGGUCAAUGGGCGCAAGCCUGAACCAGCCAUCCCGCGUGCAGGAAGACGGCCCUAUGGGUUGUAAAACUGCUUUUCCAGGGAGAGAAAACUUACGCACGUGUUGCAAUGACUGACGGUACCCUGGGAAUAAGCAUCGGCUAACUCCGUGCCAGCAGCCGCGGUAAUACGUCUA
rnacentral:rRNA from 1 species